rnacentral:rRNA from 1 species
UGGGGAAUUUUGGACAAUGGGCGCAAGCCUGAUCCAGCCAUGCCGCGUGAGUGAAGAAGGCCUUCGGGUUGUAAAGCUCUUUCGGCCAGGAAGAAAUCGUGUUCUCUAACAUAGGACAUGGAUGACGGUACCGGACUAAGAAGCACCGGCUAACUACGUGCC